AUAACGGUCCUAAGGUAGCGAAAUUCCUUGUCGGGUAAGUUCCGACCUGCACGAAUGGCGUAACGAUGGCCACACUGUCUCCUCCCGAGACUCAGCGAAGUUGAAAUGUUUGUGAUGAUGCAAUCUACCCGCGGCUAGACGGAAAGACCCCAUGAACCUUUACUGUAGCUUUGCAUUGGACUUUGAACCAAUCUGUGUAGGAUAGGUGGGAGGCUUUGAAGCGGGGACGCCAGU
rnacentral:rRNA from 1 species